AUGCAUGCUUGUACAAAGUCAGUCCACAUAUUAUAAUGUUUGUCUUCAAUCAAUCAAUUUAAAUAAAUGAGAUGGGGACUUUAUAAUAUAAUAAGGGUCCAUAUAUCACAGUGAUAAAAGACAUACAUGUAUUUUUACUUUAACAUGAACUAAUGCUGAGUUAAGGCAUAUACUAUCAUAAACUAAGAGUCAUCAUUAAGAUGACAUGUUUUUCAUUGUUAGUUAAUGCAUUCAUUUACAAUGAAUUAAUUUGAGUUCAUGUUGUAAUUAAGUAAGUUCAGUAAGUUACAUGUCUUAACUCAGCAUUAGUUUUGUAUUUACUUAUAUUUAAGUAAGAAUUCAUUUAGGUAUAUGUUCAAUGUUUCCAAUGAUGAGCAGUUAAUCCACUAAACCCAAAGAUAAUUCCUGAGGCAUGUUUAAAGAGUUUUGUAUUUCAUCAAAGAUUUUAUAUUUAAGAAAAUCUGAAAUCAUUCAAAAUAACUGUUAACAUGUUUGUCAACUAAACAUGUUUUGUCAACGUUAUAAACUUUAUAGAAAUAUUUUUUAUUAAUGACCAAGUAUAAAGAACCAUGCAUAGUGUGAAAACGCGGAUUAUAUAAAAGUAUAUAAUAAAGUGCGAGCAGAGGAUCAAUCAAACUUGGGCUGGAAUGAUUGUAGUGCAUCCAAUGCACCUUGGAAUUCGUAGUUUACAUCUACAGCAGCAUAUGCUACAGCAGUGACAACGCCAAAGAAAAGGACUACAUUUCCCAGAAUGCACCUGCACCCACUCAUCUGCCCCCACUCUUCAGGUGCGACUGCUUGACCUAUGGGCUUGACGGGAAAAUUCAAAAUCGCGAACCGUUACAGCCUGGACUUCUCGUUCGGUGUCUUUCUUUGUUUGCUUGCACAUCAACAGUAAGAGGUCAUGUACACUGUGGUCAACUUGUGGACGCUGAAGAGGUUUCUGGGUAAAGAUGAUAGAAAAAUGAAGUAACAGUGGAAGCUAAAACAUCAAACUGAUCCAGACACUGAAGAAAUUGAUGUCACUGCAAUCUGGCCAAAUUGAUACAACUAUAUUGAAGUAGCCUACUGUAAUGAAGCUGCAGAACGUCACAGAGACUCUGAGGACAUCAACACAGAAUAUCAAGGCUCCCAAGAGAUGUCUGUCCAGAUGAGGGUGCAUCAACGUUACCUUUGCUGACAAGUAUAUGCUUUACAAUGUAAAACCUAACAGUUAAUAUAACUCAAACCAUUUAAGGAAAUUGGUUGCCUUAAAUCAUUAAGUUUUAAAAAAACAUACAUUUGAGUACUGUGAACUUAAGUCUUGUGCAAUUAUGCACUUAUAUUUAGGUAGUGUGAACUUAAAUAUAAGUGCUUAACUGCAUGUGACUCAAUUUGUUUAAGUUCACAGUACUCAAAUCUAUGUGUUUUAAAACUUGAAUGGUUUAAUGCAACCGGUUUUCUUAAAUGUGAGAAAUUACAGUGUUGCAGUGAGAAAUGUUUGAAUAAUUCCAAGACAGAGCUCUGUGAUUGAUUCUACACUGCAAAAAUCACUUUCUAACACUUUUCAUCUUGUUUUCAGUAGAAAAACUAAAAAUUCUUAAAUCAAGAUGUAUUUUCUUGAUGAGCAAAAUUACCUUAGAAAAUAUGUCUAGUUUUUAGACAAAAAUAUACAAUUUAAGAUAAUUUGUGCCUAAACAAGAAAAAAUAUCUAACAAUGGGGUGAGAAAAUUGUGUUUUAAUUAAGUUUUUAAGAAAAAAGAAAACUUAAGAUUUUUUUCUCACACUAUUGGCAGAUAUUUUUGCUUGUUUUAAGCACAAAUUCACUUAAUACACAGACACACACACAUUUUUUAUUUGGUCUAAAACUAGACUUAUUUUCUUGGGUCAUUUUGUUCCUCAAGAAAAAGCAUUUUAAUUUAAAUAAUAUUUCUACAGAAAACAAGACAAAAAUACUAUGUAAGAAAGUCAUUUUUUGCAGUGUAGGACUAAUUUCUUUAGAUUAUUUAGAUAUUUACUACAUUACAGUGGCAGCUGGUGACUUCUUUUUUUUUGUGAGCACUCGAUGCGAUGUUUGUCACAACAUGUAUAUAGCCUGUCAUUUGUGUGGUUCCCAAUUUCAAAAUAUGUGUUCUGCGUGUCGAGUGCGUGUAUGUGCAUCACGUGUUUUGACUAAACACGUGAUGCACGUGGUUUACAUGAAGCAACAAACACAUAUUUUAAAAACACAAGCAACACACAUGACACUCUGAACACUUAUUUUGAAUUUGCAACCCUCGGAUGAGCAGUCACGAGCCGCCACUGCUACAUUACAUUGUACUGCUUUGAAUGUAGUUUUCAUUGUUGCUUUUAUUUUGUUUUAUUUUACUCUAAUAUUGCUUUAUCUGUCUGUAUAUUUAUGAGUUUAAAUGGUAUUGUUUAUGUAUGCAACUUUUAAUAUUUGUGUAUUAUAUUAUUUUGUGAUUGUGACAAUUGUGGAUUGUUCAGUUUUUUAUUAAAUAAACAUUUCAAACUCAA